rnacentral:misc_RNA from 1 species
UGGGCUCGAACGGCUUUGGAUCAUCUUUGGAAACAGAGACUUCUCGCAAGAGACCGGAGUCGAGGUGCUGCAUGGCUGUCGUCAGCUCGUGUCGUGAGAUGUUGGGUUAAGUCCCGCAACGAGCGCAACCCUUGUCCUGUGUUGCCACUCCCGUAAGGGGAGCACUCUCAGGAGACCGCCAGCGAUAAGUUGGAGGAAGGUGGGGAUGACGUCCCUUACAGCGUAC